rnacentral:rRNA from 1 species
GACGAACGCUGGCGGCGUGCUUAACACAUGCAAGUCGAACGGAAAGGCCCUGCUUUUGUGGGGUGCUCGAGUGGCGAACGGGUGAGUAACACGUGAGUAACCUGCCCUUGACUUUGGGAUAACUUCAGGAAACUGGGGCUAAUACCGGAUAGGAGCUCCUGCUGCAUGGUGGGGGUUGGAAAGUUUCGGCGGGUGGGGAUGGACUCGCGGCUUAUCAGCUUGUUGGUGGGGUAGUGGCUUACCAAGGCUUUGACGGGUAGCCGGCCUGAGAGGGUGACCGGCCACAUUGGGACUGCGAUACGGCCCAGACUCCUACGGGAGGCAGCAGUGGGGAAUAUUGCACAAUGGGCGGAAGCCUGAUGCAGCAACGCCGCGUGCGGGAUGACGGCCUUCGGGUUGUAAACCGCUUUCGCCUGUGACGAAGCGUGAGUGACGGUAAUGGGUAAAGAAGCACCGGCUAACUACGUG